rnacentral:sRNA from 1 species
AAGCUUCAGAAAAUUGACGAGCAGUUGCUAGCAAUACAGAACAUUGCUGAAAACAUAGAGCAGGAUUUCCCCAAGCCUGAAAUGCUAGAUCUACAUUGUGAUAAGAUUGGACCAGUGGAUCACAUUGAAUUCUCUUCUGGCCCUGAAUUCAAAAAAACAUUAGCUUCAAAAACCAUUAGCAUUUCUGAAGAAGUGCGUUUUUUGACCCAUAUGGAUGAAGAAGAUCAAAGUGACAAAAAGGAGACUUCAGAACCUGAAUUUUCAAUAACAGAAAACUAUUCUGGUCAGAAAACUUGUGUGUUUCCUACUGCCGAUUCGGCUGUCAGCCUUUCCAGUUCCAGUGAUCAGAAUACUACUUCUCCUGUGUUUCAGUACACCCGUUCCAGAUGACUGGAUUGACUGAUAUUGCAGACAUUAUUGAUGA